AUUGUUGCUGAUUUUGAACCUAAACUUUGGCUUUUGUUGUUGCAUUUUCAUUUGAAUUUCUGGAUAUAUUAUAAUCAGUUCAUAUAUACAAAAUCCACCAAUAUCAUGGUUUUGCAGAUUGACGAAGAGCUUCUUCAGGAAGUGGUUAAUAUGGGAUUUGACAGAAAUCAAUUGGUUGAAUCUUUAUGCAACAGGAUCUAAAAUGAGAUGGGGCUGGUGAUGAUUUGUUUAAAGAGCUAUGGAGGCUGUGUGCAGGGCCAUUAAUGGAUGUUCCUUGUGUUCAAGACAGAGUUUUCUAUUUCCCUCAGGGUCACAUUGAAUUGUUGCCAGAACCUACAGAACAAGAUUUGAGGCAGAUGAAGAACCAGAAAUCUCCCAAAUACGAUUUUCCGUCGAACAAGAUAUUUAAAGAACAAGAUUUUUUUCUCUUCUAUCAGAAGGUUAAUAAUUUUUAUUGGAAGAUACUUAUGUAGGAUACAAUAUUUUGGUUUUUUAUAGUUUAUUAGUAGUAAAUCUAAGUGGUCUAAUGUAUAUUUUGAUAUGGGUAUGUUUAAUUUAGUGUGAGAUGUAUGAAUACUCAUUUAUGAUCAUCCCAAUAUUUUUAGUUCAUUAUAAAUAUAUUUUGUUA